rnacentral:snoRNA from 1 species
GGAACAUGAGGAAAGACAGAGAUUGAGUCACCAACAUGUGACCUGGUGAUUUCUGAGUCCU